rnacentral:rRNA from 1 species
CAGCAGCCGCGGUAAUACGAAGGGGGCUAGCGUUGUUCGGAAUUACUGGGCGUAAAGGGCUCGCAGGCGGUUUCUUAAGUCUGAUGUGAGAGCCCCCGGCUCAACCGGGGAGGGUCAUUGGAAACUGGGAAACUUGAGUGCAGAAGAGGAGAGUGGAAUUCCACGUGUAGCGGUGAAAUGCGUAGAGAUGUGGAGGAACACCAGUGGCGAAGGCGACUCUCUGGUCUGUAACUGACGCUGAGGAGCGAAAGCGUGGGGAGCGAACAGGAUUAAAUACCCCGGUAGUCCCUGUCUCUUAUAC